GACGAACGCUGGCGGCGUGCUUAACACAUGCAAGUCGAACGAAGUGGCGAACGGGUGAGUAACGCGUAAUAAACCUGCCCUUCAGAGGGGGACAACAGUUGGAAACGACUGCUAAUACCGAAUACUGAAGGAGGGGAUUGCGUCUGUUUAGCUAGUUGGAGGGGUAACGGCCGACCAAGGGGAGGAUCAGUAGCCGGGUUGGGAGGAGUAACGGCCACAUUGGGACUGAGAAACGGCCCAGACUCCUACGGGAGGCAGCAGUGGGGAAUCUUCCGCAAUGGACGAAAGUCUGACGGAGCAACGCCGCGGGAGUGAUGACGGCCUUCGGGUUGUAAAGCUCUGUUAAUCGGGACGCGGUACCGGAAUAGAAAGCCACGGCUAACUACGUGCCAGCCGCCGCGGUAAUUC
rnacentral:rRNA from 1 species